AACAGGAUUAGAUACCCGGGUAGUCCACGCCCUAAACGAUGUCAACUAGGUGUUGGGGACCUUGAGUUCUCGGUACCGGAGCUAACGCAUUAAGUUGACCGCCUGGGGAGUACGGCCGCAAGGUUGAAACUCAAAGAAAUUGACGGGGACCCGCACAAGCGGUGGAGCAUGUGGUUUAAUUCGAUGCAACGCGAAGAACCUUACCAGGCCUUGACAUCCAGAGAACAAAGCAGAGAUGCAUUGGUGCCUUCGGGAACUCUGAGACAGGUGUUGCAUGGCUGUCGUCAGCUCGUGUCGUGAGAUGUUGGGUUAAGUCCCGCAACGAGCGCAACCCUUAUCCUUACUUGCCAGCACUUCGGGUGGGAACUUUAAGGAGACUGCCGGUGACAAACCGGAGGAAGGUGGGGAUGACGUCAAGUCAUCAUGG
rnacentral:rRNA from 1 species